rnacentral:rRNA from 1 species
UUUUCUGUAGCAAUACAGGGAGCCGGCGCGUGGCGAACGGGUGCGUAACACGUGGAUAACCUUCCUUCAGGUGGGGAAUAACCCCGCGAAAGCGGGGCUAAUACCGCAUAACAUGACGACGGCACAUGCCGUUGUCUUCAAAGCCGCAAGGCGCCAGAAGAGGGAUCCGCGGCCGAUUAGCUUGUUGGCGAGGUAAUGGCUCACCAAGGCAAUGAUCGGUAGCCGGACUGAGAGGUUGGCCGGCCACACUGGAACUGAGACACGGUCCAGACUCCUACGGGAGGCAGCAGUGGGGAAUCUUGCGCAAUGGGCGAAAGCCUGACGCAGCAACGCCGCGUGGGGGAUGAAGCUUCUCGGAGUGUAAACCCCUUUCGACCCGGACGAAUGCCCGCAAGGGUUUGACGGUACGGGUAUAAGAAGCCCCGGCUAACUACGUGCCAGCAGCCGCGGUAAAACGUAGGGGGCCAGCGUUGCUCGGAAUUACUGGGCGUAAAGGGUCCGUAGGCGGUGCGGCAAGUCGGAAGUGAAAUUUCUAGGCUUAACCUAGAAGCUGCUCCCGAAACUGCCGUGCUAGAGUGCGAGAGAGGCGAGUGGAAUUGCGGGUGUAGCGGUGAAAUGCGUAGAUAUCCGCAGGAACAUCCGAGGCGAAAGCGGCUCGCUGGAUCGCAACUGACGCUGAGGGACGAAAGCUAGGGGAGCAAACAGGAUUAGAUACCCUGGUAGUCCUAGCCCUAAACCAUCAGGACUUGGGGUUUGCCCUGUACGGGGCAAGUCCCGUAGCUAACGCGUUAAGUCCUGCGCCUGGGGAGUACGGUCGCAAGGCUGAAACUC